rnacentral:piRNA from 1 species
UGUGCUUUCCUUGCACGUGGGUGCCGCUC